rnacentral:rRNA from 1 species
AUAUUGCAAAAUGGGCGCAAGCCCGAUGCAGCAACGCCGCGUGGGCGAUGAAGGCCUUCGGGUCGUAAAGCCCUUUUUGAGGGGAUGAGGAAGGACAGUACCCUCAGAAUAAGCCUCGGCUAACUACGUGCCAGCAGCCGCGGUAAAACGUAGGAGGCGAGCGUUAUCCGGAUUUACUGGGCGUAAAGCGCGUGCAGGCGGAUUGGAGAGUUGGAUGUGAAAGCUCCCGGCUUAACUGGGAGAGGUCGUUCAAUACUUCCAGUCUUGAGUGCAGUAGAGGGAAGUGGAAUUCCGGGUGUAGUGGUGAAAUGCGUAGAUAUCCGGAGGAACACCAGUGGCGAAAGCGGCUUCCUGGACUGUAACUGACGCUCAGACGCGAAAGCUAGGGUAGCAAACGG